AUUAAAGAAAGUAUAUGUCUUUUUCCUGUUUCUUUAUAUGUUAAAGUCAAAUAAAGUACUAUACCAAUAAAGAAAGCAAAAUCUUGUUGAAAAUUUGACAUGAAACCUCAGAUUUACCAAAUCAUUCAUAUUCCAGAUUUUCCGUGGGAGCUAGCCUAGGCUUUCAGAGGUAUCAUUUAUAGAAUAAAGAGUAAUUAUUAUUCACUUCUUUUUCUGAAAAUCAAAAUCCAGAAGAUGAACACAGAUCAACAAGUUUUCCUACAUAUUUGCUACAGAAGCUGAAUCCAUUCAUUACGUUAGACAUAAAUUGUUUUCCUGGGCACUCACCCAGUCUGGAGAGCAAUUCAAAUCAUAGUCCAAUGAACGUUUAAUAGCUGGCAAAUACUGGCUGCAGACUACCUGCCAAGAAGAUACUGUGUGUACAAACAAAAUAUACAGUAUUAUACACCUACUUAUACAUACGGAACAGAAGAGGCCAAAUUUAUCCCUGCAAUAAGUAUAUUAGCUUUUACCAUGCCAGAACAAAGCAUCUUCAAAGCUACAGGCAAUUAAUUUGCCCCUAUUCCUGACACUGCAGGAUACAUUUCUUGGAGCAUGGACUGUAGCUUCCAGUAGCUUUGUCUACUGUGAAUCCAGCAAUAAGAAGAAUUGAUCGGAUGAAUACUGAAAAUACAGUUCCAAUGUAGUACAAGUUUCUACCUUGACCAUUCUAGCAACAUAAACAGAUGUACUGUGUCUGUCUGAUCUUCCUAGGGACAUGGAUCUACUACUGAUAUUAGUGACUAGUGUGGUGACUAAGAGAAGAAAGAACAAACUACCAACGCACUUGUUCUGCAACAGUAACUUCUUUGCUUAUUGCCUCUUUUCCCUCUACGCUGAGAAUGGAGCUGGCAAGAUCACAGAAAAGCAAUGCUAUAGUCCCACAGCAUACAUCAGAUCUGUCUUCAGUCACCUAACAUUUUUCGUUGCUGGCACCGAAGAUCCCCACGUUUCUCCGAAGUGA
rnacentral:lncRNA from 1 species